AGGCGUAUAGCUCAGCCGGUCAGAGCGCCACCCUUAUAAGGUGGAGGUCCUGGGUUCGAGUCCCAGUGCGCCUACCA
rnacentral:tRNA from 1 species